AAGAAAAAUUAUAAAAC
rnacentral:sRNA from 1 species